UCUUUUCUGUUACUUGAUUAUUUACUGUUGCCUGUUGAUGUUGCAGACGCACUAUAGUUAACAACAAGGAGGUGGUUCUAGUUAGAGCCAUGCUCAAACCUGGACGUGAAGCAGGUCUUCUGUAUGUCGGCAUAUGUAUUACAUAAAUUAAAGUUGAACGAGAUUAAAAAAGAUGAGCCUUUGAAGACGGGAAAUUUUAUUGGUAAAUACCUGGUUGAGCUGACAGAUCUCUUCAGGAAUGUUGGAAAAAAAUUUAAAACCAAAAAACAGAAACAACCUACCAUUUGGAUUACAACUUGAUAUGAACAGGUUAACGACAAGCCGUACUCGGGCAUUUCCACAAAUCGGAAAGUGAAGCCCAGUGUUUUUGACAUUCAAACGACUCGGAGCAUCUUUGGUUCAUUCUUGGUUUUAAAACAAACAUCACAUAUUUACAAAAGCAUUCACAGCAAACAGCAGUGCAAUUCUCUCCAAACUUCGUUGUGCUUAAACACAGUGGGAACUGUAGCUCCACGACAUAUUAAAGUGCGCUCUUGCUCAGUAGUUCAGUGCAUAGGAAAGUUUGAUCUCUAUUAACAGACAAAUUAUAC